AGGCCACAGUUUGCUGACAUCGUGCCACUGCGUUCCCACCUGGACAAGAGAGAGAGACCCUGUCUCAAAAAAAAAAAAAAAAACAAUAAAUAAAUAAAGAGUUUGCUGGCAUGUCCCUGUGGUCCCAGGUACUCGGCAGGCUGAGGUGGAAAGAUCACUUGAGUCUAGGAAGUUUCAGCGAGCUGUAAUCGUGCCACUGCACUCCAGCCUGGGUGAAAGAGCAAGGCCCUGUCUCAAAAAAAAAAAAAGAAAAGAAAAGCAUUUCUAAAUCAUUCCUCAAACUAGUUUUUAGUAAAAAGCUAUCUUCAAAGUAAUAAUCUACAAGGAAGGUAUAUAAUGUAGAAAGAGGUGCAUGUUGGGUGGGAGGGAGACCUGUCCUGAGUUUUAAAGUUCAUUAUGUGAGGCAGGUAAUAUGGUCAAGAUUCCAGGUAGAGAAAACAGGUGGUAGAAAGCCAAGAAGGUCCAAAUGAGAGUGGGUAGGUUAGUGCAGUAAUUGAUGAGCCCGAAGACAGACAGAUAGAAAGACGAGAUCUUCCAUGGCUGAACAAGAUAGAGGUUGCUAUAAGGCUGUGGGGAAGAGGCAUGGUGAGAUCCACAUGUUAGGACAAAUGCACUGG
rnacentral:lncRNA from 1 species